rnacentral:sRNA from 1 species
GCGUCCACACUUAUCGGUUUGUUUGAUGUUACAGCCAAGGGUCUGUAGCUCAGGUGGUUAGAGCACCGUCUUGAUAAGGCGGGGGUCGUAGGUUCAAGUCCUACCAGACCCACCAAGUUACGGGCGGCGGAGAGCGAUCUUGCCGUGAACUGGGGGAUUAGCUCAGCUGGGAGAGCACCUGCUUUGCAAGCAGGGGGUCGUCGGUUCGAUCCCGUCAUCCUCCACCAACACCUUGUGGUAGCCAAACGCAAGCAUCGAGAGAUCGGUGUUUGCGUUUGGCAUUGCCAAGACGAGUAGUAACUCGGCUGUUCUUUAACAAUAUGGAAUGUAGUAAAGGUGUCGCGGCGCGUUGAUGAGGCGCGCAAUUCAAACGCGACACUGGGUUGUGAUUGUAUCAACCAGUAUUACGAGUGAUCGAAAGACCGCUUGGAAUACGGCACAACGCGAGAACUCAGCCUAUAGCGAGACAUACUCGUUAUAGGGUCAAGCGAAUAAGUGCAUGUGGUGGAUGCCUUGGCGAUCACAGGCGAUGAAGGACGUAGUAGCUUGCGAAAAGCUGCGGGGAGCUGGCAAACGAGCUUUGAUCCGCAGAUGUCCGAAUGGGGAAACCCGGCCCGUAUGGGUCAUCCCUUGCUGAAUACAUAGGCAAGGGAGGCGAACGCAGUGAACUGAAACAUCUAAGUAGCUGCAGGAAAAGAAAUCAACCGAGAUUCCCAGAGUAGUGGCGAGCGAAAUGGGAACAGCCUUGUACUCUUUAGCAGUAUUGUUAGCGGAACGGAAUGGAAAGUCCGGCCAUAGUGGGUGAUAGCCCCGUACGCGAAAACAGUAUUGUGGAACUAGGUGUACGACAAGUAGGGCGGGACACGUGAAAUCCUGUCUGAAGAUGGGGGGACCAUCCUCCAAGGCUAAAUACUCGUGAUCGACCGAUAGUGAACCAGUACCGUGAGGGAAAGGCGAAAAGAACCCCGGGAGGGGAGUGAAAUAGAUCCUGAAACCGCAUGCAUACAAACAGUCGGAGCCUGGAAACGGGUGACGGCGUACCUUUUGUAUAAUGGGUCAGCGACUUACAUUCAGUGGCAAGCUUAACCGAUUAGGGAAGGCGUAGCGAAAGCGAGUCCAAAUAGGGCGUUCAGUCGCUGGGUGUAGACCCGAAACCAAGUGAUCUAUCCAUGGCCAGGUUGAAGGUGCGGUAACACGUACUGGAGGACCGAACCCACUAACGUUGAAAAGUUAGGGGAUGAGCUGUGGAUAGGGGUGAAAGGCUAAACAAACUUGGAAAUAGCUGGUUCUCUCCGAAAACUAUUUAGGUAGUGCCUCGUGUCUCACCUUCGGGGGUAGAGCACUGUCAUGGUUGGGGGGUCUAUUGCUGAUUACCCCGCCAUAGCAAACUCCGAAUACCGAAGAGUGCAAUCACGGGAGACAGACAUCGGGUGCUAACGUCCGGUGUCAAGAGGGAAACAACCCAGACCGCCAGCUAAGGUCCCUAAGAUUGGCUAAGUGGGAAACGA